rnacentral:rRNA from 1 species
UACGUAGGGGGCAAGCGUUGUCCGGAUUUAUUGGGCGUAAAGAGCGUGUAGGCGGCCAGAUAGGUCCGUUGUGAAAACUCGAGGCUCAACCUCGAGACGCCGAUGGAAACCAUUUGGCUAGAGUCCGGAAGAGGAGAGUGGAAUUCCUGGUGUAGCGGUGAAAUGCGCAGAUAUCAGGAAGAACACCUAUGGCGAAAGCAGCUCUCUGGGACGGUACUGACGCUGAGACGCGAAAGCGUGGGGAGCGAACAGG